CCCCCAGACCCGCCCCCGCACGCCCUGGCCCCGCGCCGCCCCGCCCGGAGCAAGGGGUUUCGCCCGCCUCACCGCCAGAAAAGCUCCCGCCUCGCGGUCCGGCCGAGCAGGACGGUGGGGUGGCCUGAUGGUCCUGCUCACAGUCUCUAGAAAAGCUGCCCUUGACCCCAGGAUUAUGCUCUAAUGACUUCUGUGCAAGAAGACACGGAGGAAACGAGUGUGUUCUUCAUACCAGAAGCCUGUGUGAACCCAGGACUCCUGCUCUCUAUGUGACCAAGGUGGAUCAGAACGGGAUCUCCACAGCUGCCAACCUGUCGCUGGCACAGACCAACCCAGAACCUCCUAGAUGCAAACGCCAGGUCCGAAUUGGAGCUGGGAAGCUCCCGGGUUUGUCAGGGCUUAGAAGAUGGCCCAGAUGGAAAUGCAUUGCCUGGAAAUGCAAGAGGCAGAGGUCUAAAGAGCCUAUACAUUCAUUCUGGGAGAAGCCAGCCUGGUCAUGGAAAAGUGCCUAGUAAUACACAGUGCGGUGGUCAAGCGUAGGAGUUACUUGGACCCAUGCACUGGAGGCUGGGGGAGAAGGGAAAUAAUUCUGGCUCAUACAAUUUGCGCAGGAAUUAUAGUGACACAGCCAGUCGCCUAAGUGCUUCUCCCGGCCUGAACCGUUUGUCACCUGUUCAUACCGCAUGACACCCUAGGAAAUAACUGGACGUGGCCAUGGUGUGUAGGCAAGGGAGACGUGGAAGAAUGGCAGACCUCUGCUCAUGUGCGUUCAUUUCACACACACACACACACACACACACACACAGAGAAAUCUCAUUAACAGAGUCACUGAGAUGAGUGCUGCCCCCUGCUCCCCUCUUACGGGCACAUUUUUGCCCCAAAGAGCCGCAGUCUAAAAAGGCAGGGCAAACAAGGAGCACCCCCCCCACCCCCCACCCCUUCGUAUUUGGUGAAUGGGUGCACCAGCAGUGCAACGUCUUUGUUAAUGUUGUGGAAGGGGACUUUUUUAGCGCUUGGAGCUAAACCUCCAUCUCCUGAGCUCAGGCAAGCUGUCUAUUUAUCAUUUCUAGCACAGUUCAGUAGAAAUACACAUAGGAACUGCUGAAUGUACCGAAGCAGAUUUAUAAUUCAGGCAGUACAGCAGUGUAGAUGCUUUAGAGCAGCAGUUCCCAAACUGGGGAUUGUGAGUCCUCUGGAAAUACAGCUAGCGCCAGA
rnacentral:lncRNA from 1 species